AUGAAGAUUAAAGGACCCGGGAAAAGGAAGCGCUCUUGAGAAACUGUUGAAAUUCAAGAUUGGCAAAGGAGGUUCAAUUCCACCUCUUCACACUUGUGGUUUCAGGAAUCGAUGGUUUCUCAAUCCCUGGAGAGAGACUCCUUCCCCAGGGAAGUGAAAAUAAUGAGCUUUUGGAGGUAUUGUUUUUUUGCUUUCACGGUGGUCAGUGUGGUUAUUUUUGUGUUACUUUACAAUAGCCAAUUAAGCCAGCCAAAAAGUUACGGGAAGCUGAAUAGUUCCAAUGAAAGGGAUUUUAGGAUGCAUGCCUGUAAUUACGCCUUAGAAGAUAAGUCAUCCUUUUUGUGGGAAAAGACACUGACAUCACCUGUGGGAAGUGUCCCUUGCAAGGACUACCUGAUCCAGAAUCACUACAUCACGAGCUCCCUGUCGAGAGAAGAAGCUGUGUUCCCUCUGGCAUAUGUCAUGGUCAUCCAUAAGGACUUCAGUACUUUUGAAAGACUCUUCAGGGCUGUCUAUAUGCCCCAGAACGUCUACUGCAUUCAUGUGGAUGAGAAAGCCACAACUCAGUUUAAGAAAUCAGUGUGGCAGCUACUGAGUUGCUUCCAGAAUGCUUUUCUUGCUUCAAAGGUAGAGCCUGUGGUCUAUGCAGGAAUUUCCAGGCUCCAGGCUGACCUGAACUGCCUGGAAGACCUUUUAGCUUCUGAAGUUCCGUGGAAGUACGCCAUCAACACCUGUGGGCAAGACUUCCCCCUGAAAACCAACAGGGAGAUCAUUCAGUAUCUGAAAAGAUUUAAAGGGAAAAACAUUACCCCGGGGGUCCUGCCUCCCAGUCAUGCAAUAAAGCGGACUAAAUACGUCCACCGAGAGCACUUAGGCAGAGGUGGCUCUUUUAUGAAAAAUACUAAUAUUUUGAAAACCUCCCCUCCACACCAGCUGACCAUCUACUUUGGCACCGCCUAUGUGGCCCUUACCAGAGAGUUUGUCAAGUUUGUCUUCCAAGACCAAAGGGCCAUUGAUCUGCUACACUGGUCCAAAGAUACCUUUUCCCCUGAUGAACAUUUCUGGGUGACACUUAAUAGGAUCCCAGGUGUUCCUGGCUCCAUGCCAAACGCAUCGUGGGCCGGGAACCUCAGAGCUGUAAAGUGGUUUGACAUGGAAUAUAAACACGGAGGCUGCCACGGCCACUACGUCCAUGGCAUUUGUAUCUAUGGAAACGGAGACUUAAAGUGGUUGAUUAAUUCGUCAAGCCUCUUUGCUAACAAGUUUGAGCUCACUACGUACCCCCUUACUGUGGAAUGCCUAGAGCUGAGGCUUAGAGAAAGAACCCUAAAUCAGAGUGAAAUUGCAAUACAGCCCAGCUGGUAUUUUUGA